AUGUGUACUUGCAUGUGGCAUUUUUUGGUAUCUUCAGGUUGGGUGCCCAACAUGACCAUGAUAGCUAGGUUGUUCCCCAUGGUGUAUGUGUAUGUUCUUCUUGCUGCGUGCAUACCUAAUCUUCCGUCUUCUUUGUUUUGUUGGUUGGCUUUGCAGGCCAGGACUCACAUUCUGGAGAGCUCCUUGGUCAGUCCAUCACGAGAACCGGCAGCUACCGGAUUCCUUUUGUGCUGCUGGAAAGGAGGCACAUUGUUCCCAUGCUCGUGCUCUAUGGGUAGAAGCUGCAAAUUCUGGAGGUAUCAGACGAGGGUAUUCGAAGAAGACACCAUGAAUGGCAGCAGACUCUACCGCUUCCAUUACAAUGGUAUCUGA
rnacentral:rRNA from 1 species